rnacentral:rRNA from 1 species
UACGAAGGGGGCUAGCGUUGUUCGGAUUUACUGGGCGUAAAGCGCACGUAGGCGGAUCGUUAAGUCGGGGGUGAAAUCCUGGAGCUCAACUCCAGAACUGCCUUCGAUACUGGCAAUCUUGAGUCCGGAAGAGGUAAGUGGAACUGCGAGUGUAGAGGUGAAAUUCGUAGAUAUUCGGAAGAACACCAGUGGCGAAGGCGGCUCACUGGACCGGCAUUGACGCUGAGGUGCGAAAGCGUGGGGAGCAAACAGG